UUGCGAGAUGCCAAGAGGGAAAUCUCUGGUUAACGGAGUGCAUUGUUGAACUGGGCUGGGCUCGCCCAGCGUCUGUUGGGUCCUGUUGACGCCAGCCACCAAAGUGUGUGAGAACAGCACCGCUUCGCACCCCUUUUCCGGCCUCUCCCUUCCCCUCCGGGUUGGGACGCGGUCACAUCUCCCUGACUCUCUUUAGCACCCGCUUCCCGCUUCUCAUCGGCCUGUGCUUCCUUCCCCAUCCGACGGACUACUCGCCUCCUUAGCGGCUGACUUAUCCCAGAUCUUCUGUCACAUUCUCCCCAGGUUCCUGUCGCAUUUACCUCAGAUCUCCUGUCACACUGAAGUCCCCUGUCACCUCACCCCAGGUCUGCUGUCACACUUACCCCAAGCCUCCUAUCACAUCAGUUUCCUAUCGCACUUAACCCAGGCCUCCUGUCACACUUAUCCCAGGCGUCCUCUCACAUGUACCUCAGAUCUCCUGUCACACUUACCCCAGGUCUCCUGUCACCACAUCCCAGGUCUUCUGUCACACUUACCCCAAGCCUCCUAUCACAUCAGUUUCCUAUCGCACUUAACCCAGGCCUCCUGUCACACUUAUCCCAGGCGUCCUCUCACAUGUACCUCAGAUCUCCUGUCACACUUACCCCAGGUUCCUGUCACAGAUACCUAGGUCUCCUGUCCACUCACCCAGGUCUCAUGUCACCUUUACCCCAGGUCUCCUGUCACACUCACCUCAGGUCUCCUGUCAUGUUGGCCCCAGGUCUCUUUUCACACUUCUCCUAGAUUUCCUGUCACACCCACCCCAGAACUCCUGUGACAUUUACCCCAGGUCUCUUUUCACAUUUCAGGAGAACACAAGAUUCCUCAGGUUGUGUAAAUUUGCUUGACUAGUAGUAGAACAAUUACCUUUUUUGUAAAGAGGUGGAAAGAUUUUUAGGUAGGCAUAAACUUUACAUUUUUCAA